UAGAGCCGUAUACGAGACCCGUACGUACGGGUCAAUGGGAGGGGCAAUAAACUAAUUUAUUUCUCUACCCUAU
rnacentral:misc_RNA from 1 species